AUUGAACGCUGGCGGCAGGCUUUACACAUGCAAGUCGAACGGCAGCGCGGGCUUCGGCCUGGCGGCGGGUGGCGGACGGGUGAGUAAUACAUCGGAACAUGCCCAGUAAUGGGGGCUAGGGCGGCGAAAGCCGGAUUAAUACCGCAUAAGACCAGAGGACGAAAGCGGGGGAUCUUCGGACCUCGCGCUAUUGGGGCGGCCGAUGGCAGAUUAGCUAGUUGGUGGGGUAAAGGCCUACCAAGGCGACGAUCUGUAGCUGGUCUGAGAGGACGACCAGCCACACUGGGACUGAGACACGGCCCAGACUCCUACGGGAGGCAGCAGUGGGGAAUUUUGGACAAUGGGCGAAAGCCUGAUCCAGCAAUGCCGCGUGUGUGAUGAAGGCCUUCGGGUUGUAAAGCACUUUUGGCGGGAAAGAAAAGGACUGUGCCAAUACCACGGUUUGAUGACGGUACCCGAAGAAUAAGCACCGGCUAACUACGUG
rnacentral:rRNA from 1 species